GGGUUGUGAGGUUAAGUGACUAAGCGUACACGGUGGAUGCCCUGGCAGUCAGAGGCGAUGAAGGACGUGCUAAUCUGCGAAAAGCGUCGGUAAGGUGAUAUGAACCGUUAUAACCGGCGAUGUCCGAAUGGGGAAACCCAGUGCAAUUCGUUGCACUAUCGUUAACUGAAUACAUAGGUUAACGAGGCGAACCGGGGGAACUGAAACAUCUAAGUACCCCGAGGAAAAGAAAUCAACCGAGAUUCCCCCAGUAGCGGCGAGCGAACGGGGAGCAGCCCAGAGUCUGAAUCAGCUUGUGUGUUAGUGGAACGGUCUGGAAAGUCCGACGGUACAGGGUGAUAGUCCCGUACACCAAAAUGCACAGGCUGUGAACUCGAAGAGUAGGGCGGGACACGUGGUAUCCUGUCUGAAUAUGGGGGGACCAUCCUCCAAGGCUAAAUACUCCUGACUGACCGAUAGUGAACCAGUACCGUGAGGGAAAGGCGAAAAGAACCCCGGCGAGGGGAGUGAAAAAGAACCUGAAACCGUGUACGUACAAGCAGUGGGAGCACCUUCGGGUGUGACUGCGUACCUUUUGUAUAAUGGGUCAGCGACUUAUAUUCUGUAGCAAGGUUAACCGUAUAGGGGAGCCGCAGGGAAACCGAGUCUUAACUGGGCGUUAAGUUGCAGGGUAUAGACCCGAAACCCGGUGAUCUAGCCAUGGGCAGGUUGAAGGUUGGGUAACACUAACUGGAGGACCGAACCGACUAAUGUUGAAAAAUUAGCGGAUGACUUGUGGCUGGGGGUGAAAGGCCAAUCAAACCGGGAGAUAGCUGGUUCUCCCCGAAAGCUAUUUAGGUAGCGCCUCGUGAACUCAUCUUCGGGGGUAGAGCACUGUUUCGGCUAGGGGGUCAUCCCGACUUACCAACCCGAUGCAAACUACGAAUACCGAAGAAUGUUAUCACGGGAGACACACGGCGGGUGCUAACGUCCGUCGUGAAGAGGGAAACAACCCAGACCGCCAGCUAAGGUCCCAAAGUCAUGGUUAAGUGGGAAACGAUGUGGGAAGGCACAGACAGCCAGGAUGUUGGCUUAGAAGCAGCCAUCAUUUAAAGAAAGCGUAAUAGCUCACUGGUCGAGUCGGCCUGCGCGGAAGAUGUAACGGGGCUAAACCAUGCACCGAAGCUGCGGCAGCGACACUAUGUGUUGUUGGGUAGGGGAGCGUUCUGUAAGCCUGCGAAGGUGUGCUGUGAGGCAUGCUGGAGGUAUCAGAAGUGCGAAUGCUGACAUAAGUAACGAUAAAGCGGGUGAAAAGCCCGCUCGCCGGAAGACCAAGGGUUCCUGUCCAACGUUAAUCGGGGCAGGGUGAGUCGACCCCUAAGGCGAGGCCGAAAGGCGUAGUCGAUGGGAAACAGGUUAAUAUUCCUGUACUUGGUGUUACUGCGAAGGGGGGACGGAGAAGGCUAUGUUAGCCGGGCGACGGUUGUCCCGGUUUAAGCAUGUAGGCUGAUUAUCCAGGCAAAUCCGGAUAAUCAAGGCUGAGGUGUGAUGACGAGGCACUACGGUGCUGAAGUAACAAAUGCCCUGCUUCCAGGAAAAGCCUCUAAGCAUCAGGUAACAUCAAAUCGUACCCCAAACCGACACAGGUGGUCAGGUAGAGAAUACCAAGGCGCUUGAGAGAACUCGGGUGAAGGAACUAGGCAAAAUGGUGCCGUAACUUCGGGAGAAGGCACGCUGGUGUGUAGGUGAAGUCCCUGCGGAUGGAGCUGAGACCAGUCGAAGAUACCAGCUGGCUGCAACUGUUUAUUAAAAACACAGCACUGUGCAAACACGAAAGUGGACGUAUACGGUGUGACGCCUGCCCGGUGCCGGAAGGUUAAUUGAUGGGGUUAUCCGUAAGGAGAAGCUCUUGAUCGAAGCCCCGGUAAACGGCGGCCGUAACUAUAACGGUCCUAAGGUAGCGAAAUUCCUUGUCGGGUAAGUUCCGACCUGCACGAAUGGCGUAAUGAUGGCCAGGCUGUCUCCACCCGAGACUCAGUGAAAUUGAACUCGCUGUGAAGAUGCAGUGUACCCGCGGCAAGACGGAAAGACCCCGUGAACCUUUACUAUAGCUUGACACUGAACAUUGAGCCUUGAUGUGUAGGAUAGGUGGGAGGCUUUGAAGCGUGGACGCCAGUCUGCGUGGAGCCAACCUUGAAAUACCACCCUUUAAUGUUUGAUGUUCUAACGUUGGCCCCUGACCGGGGUUGCGGACAGUGUCUGGUGGGUAGUUUGACUGGGGCGGUCUCCUCCCAAAGCGUAACGGAGGAGCACGAAGGUUAGCUAAUCCUGGUCGGACAUCAGGAGGUUAGUGCAAUGGCAUAAGCUAGCUUGACUGCGAGCGUGACGGCGCGAGCAGGUGCGAAAGCAGGUCAUAGUGAUCCGGUGGUUCUGAAUGGAAGGGCCAUCGCUCAACGGAUAAAAGGUACUCCGGGGAUAACAGGCUGAUACCGCCCAAGAGUUCAUAUCGACGGCGGUGUUUGGCACCUCGAUGUCGGCUCAUCACAUCCUGGGGCUGAAGUAGGUCCCAAGGGUAUGGCUGUUCGCCAUUUAAAGUGGUACGCGAGCUGGGUUUAGAACGUCGUGAGACAGUUCGGUCCCUAUCUGCCGUGGGCGCUGGAGAAUUGAGGGGGGCUGCUCCUAGUACGAGAGGACCGGAGUGGACGCAUCACUGGUGUUCGGGUUGUCAUGCCAAUGGCACUGCCCGGUAGCUAAAUGCGGAAGAGAUAAGUGCUGAAAGCAUCUAAGCACGAAACUUGCCCCGAGAUGAGUUCUCCCUGAGACUUUAAGUCUCCUGAAGGAACGUUGAAGACGACGACGUUGAUAGGCCGGGUGUGUAAGCGCAGCGAUGCGUUGAGCUAACCGGUACUAAUGAACCGUGAGGCUUAACCUUACAACGCCGAAG
rnacentral:rRNA from 1 species